rnacentral:rRNA from 1 species
UACGUAGGCAGCAAGCGUUGUUCGGAUUUACUGGGCGUAAAGGGUGCGUAGGCGGUUGUUUAAGUUUGGUGUGAAAUCUCCCGGCUCAACUGGGAGGGUGCGCCGAAUACUGAAUGACUCGAGUGCGGGAGAGGAGAGUGGAAUUCCUGGUGUAGCGGUGAAAUGCGUAGAUAUCAGGAGGAACACCGGUGGUGUAGACGGCUCUCUGGACCGUAACUGACGCUGAGGCACGAAAGCGUGGGUAGCAAACAGG